rnacentral:snoRNA from 1 species
AGCCUUGAGUUCUUAAAGCUUUUGUUCACAGAAGAUCACACCACACCCCUAGGAUCUUGGAGGCUGUAAAAGGAGGAACAGCAGCACUGAAGCUGUCCUCACCGCGCUUGUACCUGCUACACAGCAUGGGGGCUGGUUCCAAACAGGG